CCUACGGGUGGCAGCAGUGGGGAAUAUUGGGCAAUGGAGGCAACUCUGACCCAGCAACGCCGCGUGAAUGAUGAAGGUCUUCGGGUUGUAAAGUUCUUUUAUAGGGGAAGAAGAAAGUGACGGUACCUUAGGAAUAAGCCUCGGCUAACUACGUGCCAGCAGCCGCGGUAAUACGUAGGUGGCGAGCGUUAUCCGGAAUGACUGGGCGUAAAGGGAGCGUAGGUGGGUUGGCAAGUUAGUAGCGAAACCCCAAGGCUCAACCUUGGAACUACUAUUAAAACUGUUGGACUUGAGUGCAGGAGGGGAAAGCGGAAUUCCUAGUGUAGCGGUGGAAUGCGUAGAUAUUAGGAGGAACACCAGUGGCGAAGGCGGGUUGCUAGACUGUAACUGACACUGAGGCACGAAAGCGUGGGGAGCAAACAGGAUUAGAUACCCGAGUAGUC
rnacentral:rRNA from 1 species